GCUCAGUCGGUUAAGCAUCCGACUCCUGACUUCCGCUCAGGUCAUGAUCUCACAGUUCGUGGGUUCGAGCCCCACACUGGGCU
rnacentral:tRNA from 1 species